CCUACGUGGUGCAGCAGUGAGGAAUAUUGGUCAAUGGGCGCGAGCCUGAACCAGCCAAGUAGCGUGAAGGAUGACUGCCCUACGGGUUGUAAACUUCUUUUAUAAAGGAAUAAAGUGAGGCACGUGUGCCUUUUUGUAUGUACUUUAUGAAUAAGGAUCGGCUAACUCCGUGCCAGCAGCCGCGGUAAUACGGAGGAUCCGAGCGUUAGCCGGAUUUAUUGGGUUUUAAGGGAGCGUAGAUGGUUUGUUAAGUCAGUUGUGAAAGUUUGCGGCUCAACCGUAAAAUUGCAAUUGAUACUGGCAGUCUUGAGUACAGUUGAGGUAGGCGGAAUUCGUGGUGUAGCGGUGAAAUGCUUAGAUAUCACGAAGAACUCCGAUUGCGAAGGCAGCUUACUAAACUGCCACUGACAUUGAUGCUCGAAAGUGUGGGUAUCAAACAGGAUUAGAUACCCCAGUAGUC
rnacentral:rRNA from 1 species